UGUUUGCUCUGGAAGAAACCAGCUGCCAUGUAAGAAGUCUGACUUCUCUGAGCCUGCCAUGCUGUGAGGAAGCCCAAUCUGCCCACUUGAAGAGGCUACAUGGAGAAAGAGAUGCCCAGCCAGCCCCCAGAUGUUCAAGCCAUCUCAGCUGAGGACAAAACAUGCAAGUAAAGAAGCCACUUGGAACAGUCCCAUGCAGUCAAGUCUUCAGAUGACUUCAGGACUAUUUUAUCUAUUACUGUCAUUACGACCAACUUUUAUGAACCACCAUAUUACGGGAAGUCGGUGCUGCCAGCCGGGUCUAGAUUGAUGGCAUCGGAUGCUGAGAAGUGGAGCCUCCACUCAGCAUUACUUCAUUUGGCACCUUGGCAAAACUUGACAGAGCACAGACCACCUGACAAACACUAGAGGAAUAAAAAUAAAGAGUAAGUUGUGUUUCUGAGUCAGAGAAGCUCAUAUUUUAAAAAGAGAGAAGACGUGAAAAGCAAUCAUUACAAUCCAAUGCAAACGCAGUAAUGUGGGGUAUCCACUAAGGUCUACCGGAACCAAGAGACAGAUUUCGAUUCAGAGGAGGAGAGCUGGGAAAGUUGACACAAGAGAGAUGACCUUUGAAUUAAGCUUUGAAAAUGAGCCAGACCUGUCAGAGAAAGGGCAUGCCAGGCCAAAGAGUGAGCAGGAGCAAGGGCAUGACAGCCUGCAUCUGGGCAUCGUAGAGGUGGCGGUGACUAGAGGUGGUGAGAGUAUGGAGUGUCUGGAGAGGGGACAGGAGAUAGAACUGGAGCGAGAGCUUGGACUUGAUGGUUGGAGUUCCAGCAACCCUUUUGGACUUACAAAGUCACCUUGAUGAUGAAAACCAAAACUGAAAAUGACAGAGGAGACAGAAGAGCCACCAAACCUGUGUAUCACCUUUUCUUUUAGGAGCUGGAGUGCUGCCAGGGGCAAUCCCGGCCAUCUCAGUCCUCUAGCCGGGAGAAGACAAGGGCUCACAGUCUAAGGGGACUUCUAUCUUCUCAGAGAUGACUGUGUGGGCGAACUCACAGCCUUGUGAGGGCCACCCAAGAAGGCUACCAAAGCACAUGUAAGGAAGGAGCGAUUGUCAGAGGAAGUCCGUGUGUGCUGGAAGAACCCUGAAGAAGGUUGCAUUAACUUAGGCCAUGGCCCAGAACCUGGCUCCCACCAGUGCUUAAUUCACAACUUACCCACCUCCUCCCCUGCCCUGAUCAUGCUUUACUCAUGCAGCCUUUUCCCCCUGGGAUGGGAAUCCCCCACGUCUCCUUCCCAGUGAACCAGGACACAGCCUUCAGCCAGUUCCACCAUCACCUCCUCUGAAGUUUUCCCCAAGCCAGGAUUGGUCCCCCUUCACUGGGCUCCCAUGACCUCCUGGGCAGCCUUAAAUCUGGGACCACUUAAGACAUCCCCUGGAAUCACGUGUUUGCUGGUCUGUCUCACCUGUCAGGCUGUAAACUUUGAAGGCCUUUUUCAUAUUUCUAUGUCUGGUACCUAGUCCAGGGCUUGGCAAAUAGGAACUUAAUAACUAUUUGUUAAAUAUGUACAUGAAUAAAAGAAUUACAAUAAAAGAAUUAGGAAAAUGCCUUGGUCAC